ensembl:lncRNA
ACAUGUUCGUUAGGUAAGGUAUUAAUCAACACGUCGGGGUAAACUAAAUCAGACAUGCUCUAUAAGAAAGAAUAUGAAUUAAAUGUUCAUAAUUUCAAAUAUGUUAUAUAAUUUGCCAUAUGCAGCUGCGAACAUCAUCGGCACUGGAUUGCUUACGUAAUUAUCAUUGAGCCUCCUUAUCGAACGUAGAAAGACGCAGUAAUAAUAAACAGCGAUAAUUUCAUCUCAGCCCGUCCAUUUCUUUUCGAUUCCCAAUGUAGUACUCGUAACCACUACAACUAAAACCUCUACUACAUCAUGUUUACUACAGCCACUACUACUAGUAAAGUAGUUAUACUACUACGACAAACAUUAGCCUUAAAAUCAAAAUCUCAGUAUAUUGUUUAGUUAUUAACUAUAGCGAUUAAGUGAAUAAGUAAAACUAAUAAGAAAGGCAUGUAUAUCUAAGAGUGAUUCUGGACCCCCUGAGAAGUUUAAAGGGUUAAUACAAUAAGACUAUUAGCACAAUAAGAGUGCUGAUACUAUAUCCUCACCUACUACUAUGAUACUCCCAAUACAAAUAUCAUUUUAGUCCAACAUCCAAUGGUUUAAGCCUGCAAUGAAAUUCUCUAUGAAGGUAGAGUUCCAGGAACUCCUCUAGAGUACUGAACGAUCUGAAGUAUGAAUAAACGUCACACGGUAACGUCUCAUUUCUGUCUCCUCUUUCUGUAUAACAGUGAGAUAAAUUCCCCCUGUCUGAUGAAUAACAUCGUAUGGCUUUGUCUCACACAGACGUAGUGAUCUCUCCUCUCUGCAGGUACCAGCGGCUGCUUUUAAUAUCACUGUUAUAGCCAUCAUUGCUUGUUAUAGCUCAGUGUUUUGAGAGUUGGGGUGGGUUUUUUUUUUUUAAGCACUUCUUCGUUUGCUAAAUGCUGAAAUGAGCGUUAAAUGAAUGCUUAGCUCGGUGCUGGAACGUGCCGUGUGGAUCAUAGGGAAGGAUUUGCAGCCGUGUGGCUCUCAUGCUGCGUGCGGUUGAUUGGCUUCUUUGAAACGCUGCAGUAAUUCCAGGCUUUCCUCCGAGGCUGAGAGAUGAGCCGUGGGGGCGAAGUGACGAAUGAGAAGACAUCGUUAUUACUAUCAGCAGACAAAGAAAUUUAAUCAAACAAGCCAAGGCUAUUCUCUCACUCUGAUUACAAAAUCCUUCCCUCUUCCAUCCCACCACCUUUGUUUGCAUCUCGCUCAUCCCUCUUUCUUUUUUGUCUUCCCCUUGUCCCUCAUUUUCCAUCUUUAUGGUGGAUGGAUUAGGCUCAGCUGCAUCCUGUGUAUGCUGGUCUAGUCUAUGUCCAAUUGCUUUUGUCCCCAGGCUAUUAUAAUUGACUGCUUGAGCUGUACUGGUUAAAGAGGAAACAGCAGUAUGGAGCAUGUGCAUAUGUAGAGAGGAAGCUGGGAAAUAUUAUAUUGUUGCUGAGUAUUACAUUCGACGUAGCAGCGUUUCGUUCUCAUGACUAUGUCAUGGUCAUGUUGACAGGUUGUGCUACAGAGUGUGUAAAAUGUAGUGGCCAGACCAUGUAACGCAGACAUGUUGUGCUUCAUUAAGCAGAAACAGAGGGUCGCCUCCCCCUCACUCUUCCUCUCUGUGGCUUUGUUCAUAUUGCAAACCACUGUCAAAUCUGCUCUUAUGUCACCUUAGCACGUGACCCAUAUCUAUCCUUAGUGUGAACGCAUUUUCCAAAUCACAUAACGAUCCACGUGCUUCAUGAACAACGACAAAAACGUCAUAUUUGCAAGAUAAUCCAGCAUCAGCACUGACCCCAUUGAUUAUUUGUUCCAGAGAUAGACUGGUGGCUUGUCAUUUGAUCAUCAUCAGGACAAGAAGGCAAUAAAAAAAAACAGGCUAGAUGCAGGGCUUUUAAUAUAUUACAGCAUUUACAGUAUCCACACAAUUAUCAAUUUAUUUAUUUAUUUAUUAUUUACAACUUUAGAAGAUGACCUGGUUUUAUGGAAGGAGAAAAUAAUCAUUCAUGUAUAGUACAUAUUUAUCCACAUUUAUUAAAAGUAUACUGAUACAUAAACAUUAACAUUCAAAAUUAUUAUAUAUAUUUUUUUAAUAAAGUCUUAAAUAAAGUUUUGAAUAAAGUUGAGAACGUAAAUAUGACACUGUGAAUGUGUGCAAACAUUUGCCUCACAUCACCGUGCUUCAGCGGGUUUCCUCCGGGUACUCCAGUGUCCUCCCCAGUCCAAACACAUGCAUUGUAAGCUGAUUGGCAUUUCCAAAUUUUCCAUAAUGUGUGAGUGUGUGUGAUCGUGCCCUGCGAUGGGUCGGUACCCUGUCUAGGGUAUCCCCCAGAGUUCCCUGGGAUAGGCUUCAGGCUCCCUGCAACCCUGAUUAGGAUAAGCGGUACAAAAAAUAGAUGGAUGUGUGCAAAAUAAAAUAAUUUCAAAUGAAAGAACUCUAAUUCUAGUUUAUACUAACUUAAGCACAAUAAAAUAGUUUUUAAAUAAGUAUGGCCAUGUAUAAGAGCACUCGACACUUUUCUGGCCACAAGCUUCAGAAUCUUGAAGACUCUACUCUGGCUCUUUGCACUUCCAUAUAUAGGCACUUCACAGAAAACUUUUUGGAUGUUUUUCAAAUGUAAAACAACAAAAACAACAACAACAACACAGUGAGCUCCCUCAUAUAGCAUGUGUUUGUGAUUGCCAGGUUGAGAAAAGCUCACAGACUUUCAGAAAGGCAGUUAGUGGUGAAUAAAUGAGCAGGCCUAUGGUUUGUCAUCAGUCAUGUCAGUGAAAUUCCUUCUUUCUUUGUCAGUAUGCUGUUCUAGGUCACUUUCAUGGACAAAAGGUAACAGAAUCUUUAUUAAGUUCUAGAAGUCAACUUUAUAAUUAUAGCGACCUAUUAUAACCCCAAUUCCAAAAAAAAGUUGGGACACUGUGUAAAACGGAAAGAAACAUAAAUAAAAACAGAAUGCAAUGAUUUGCAAAUCAGACAAACCCAAAUGUUAUUCACAAUAGAACAUAGAAAACAUAUCAAAUGUUUAAACUGAGGAAAUGUUAUCAUUUUAAGGAAAAAAUAAAGUAAUUAGCAAAUUGUUCCUCCAGCUGUUUCUUUUCCAGCCUUUUGUUGCACCGUCCCAACUUUUUUUGAGACGUUGCGGCCAUCAGAUUCAAAAAUUUCUAUGUUCUGUUGUGAAUCAUAUAUGGGUUUAUAAGAUUUGCAAAUCAUUGCAUUCUGUUUUUAUUUACAUGUUACACAGCGUCCCAACCUUUUCGGAAUGAGGGAAUUGUACUUCCAUUUUAGAAAUGCAGUGUGGUUAUGAGACUUAUUUCUAAUCUUAAUUCAGGUCUUCUUAUCUACUUAUAGAUCAACCGUAAAUGAUUCAUUAGGUCAAACAUGUUUUUUGAGUAAACUGAGACCUUUUAUAAGUUUUUUAUACUAUGACAAGUACUUAAUAUGUACUUAUUUAUGUACUUCCUUUCCAACUGUAGUAUACUUAAGCAAUUUUUUUUUUAUAAAGAUAUGUAUAGUGUGAUGUGCAAUGUGGUCAAAAGAAGCAUGAAUUUCUCAUUACAGUCACAUGACCACUAUCAGAUAUGACGUGUAUCCGACUUAUGAAACGUACGCAAACAUUCGUCAAAUCUGAUUUUAAAACGAAAAUCGCACAGCUCACAUCAUAAUUUUUGCAUCUUCAUCACCCACUCAGUACUGUUCAUUUGAUUAUAAUUCAGUAUAUUUAACCAUCUAUUAUGGAGUCUCAUCCAUUGUUUCACAUGUGUCUGUUAUCUCUCCUUGCAUGGUUCCUGAGGCUGCUUCAUCCCACAGUGUGGGAUAUACAUGUUGUAAUACAGCGUUACCUCCUACACCUGACCUCCUUUUGCGUACAGUUUAAUCUAUGGCUCAUUCAGCUAAGGAAAGAGAAUCACACACACACACAGUGUUAGGGAACAGCCUCCAUGCCUGCUGCUGUGCUCGACCUCUCCCUGGAGACUCAUUGUUGCACUGGAAGGACAGAGCGAGAGACAGAAUGCUAAUUGAGGCUCAUUAAAUUGAACUAUAAUGUCAUUUCCUCGUUAGAGACCUGGUCAUCUGUGAUGUGUGAUCAUGUGAACUUGUGCGUUGGAGUGUGAGUGUGAUUCACAGUUUCCUUUUUGG